AUGUUUAAGGUUAUUGGACACUUGUCACUCUAUAAAUCCUUCUUACACUUCUUACAAUUAGGAUCCUUUGUACUUGAUCCUAAUCCAUAGUUAUAUAACUUAGAUAUGAAAUAUCUAUAGUGAUAACUUUUCUUUAUAUAGUUAUAAUAGAUACUAGUUUUAUACACCACGCGCGUUGCGGCGCAGCCGCAACGAAAGCGGAUAGUUCUUAGUGUGAUAACAUGUACAUAAACUCACAACUCAUAACGCUCAUAACGCAAUUGUGCAGCGUGCGAAACCGAACAGUUCUUGGUGUGAUAACAUGAACGUAAACUCAUAACGCAAUUGCGCUAAACCGAAUCAUUACAUUACAACUCAUAACCUGAAUUAUUUUUGACCCAACAUUGGACUCGGGUUUCUAUCAUAAUCAUUGCAUCUUUGCAAUCAUAUUAACAAACUACCUUCCUACUUGUGAUUAAUCUUUAACUUGUUAUUCAUCUUUUGUAAACCCUCCUCUUUGCAAUCAUAUUAACAAACUACAUUUUUCCUACUUGUGAUUAAUCUUCUGUAAACCCUCUUGUAGCUAUCUCCAGGUCACUGUAGCUAUCUCCAGUCCAUUGUAGCUGAAAAGUCGAGCUCUUCAAAUCUUUAGUUCAUCUAAAUCAAGGCAGCUAUAAUGACAAAAGUCUAAAAGCACUCAAAUGUGGUGCAGUUUGAGCGGGGCGAAGAGAACGUUGACAUGGCCCUUGCGAGCCAAUGCCAUGGUAAGUUCCUCUUGGGACUCCCAACUCGUCCCUCAACGCAAAACGUUCUAGUCAAUGCCUUCAAUUAACUCACAAACAUGAUAACCACCUGCGAAUAUUUUGUCUAGCUUAACAUUUUUGGUACACCAGCAAUAAACUUAACCCUAAAGUAACAUUCAAAAACCUCUUAGAAAAUAGACAGGAACAAAUUUAAUAUUUAAAAUGAAAAUAAGUUUUUUCUUUAUUUUCUUCUUUUAUCGUAAAAAAUAUAAUAACAAACAAAAAGCCUAAGACAAACCUGAUGCCCCACAGAAGCUUUUACAGGUUUAUAAUCUCCAACUUUACAAACAUAAAUCACGUUAUCAAUUGAACACGUUGCAAAUGAGACAUUGUUGUGCCAAUCAACAUCAAGAGUAGGUACUGCAAUGACAACAUUGUUAAAAUCAUAUGUAUAAUAAUUAAUAUAAAAGAAGUGGAAAACCCAUCUAUAAAUUACUAUAUUUCAUAUGGCAUGAAAUUUAUAUUGUUGCUUCCAUUCUCCAGUUUCGCUACUUAAAAUAUAAUCUUCUUUCAUUGUUCCAUCUCCAAGAGAAUAUAGCCCUUAAAUUUUGUUAAUGUACUAACCAACUCAAUCUAGAAAAUAUACAAUUGGUUAAAAAAAAUAGCAGCACGUGACCCUUCUCAUUGCUACGUCUAUAAAAUGUUCUUUUUAUAUAUUUUAAAUUUAGGAAGGGUAGACGCAAAUUGACCCGUUGUCUAGUUUGAAGUGAACAAAAUUAACUGUUGUCAAUUUGAGUUGAUCCAAGUGAUCCCAUAUUCACAAUUUCCUUUUUGCCCAAAUUAGCCGGUUUAGGUACUCUCACUUAAUUCAUUUUUAUUUUGUUUUUUCAACUUUUGAGAAAUAGAGUAUUAAAGCAACCGUUGCCAACCUGGUUUGGUUAACAUGUUGUGGGCUGCCGAUGGAUACUGAACCAGGCCGAUAAUGUAGUCAAACUUGAUUUAAGUGAAGUGUCACACAAAAUAAUCUAAAACAAUAUGUAAACUAAUUAACUAUGAUGAUGGUUUCGGAUGCGUUGAUACCUCUCUUAUAGCUGCUUAACAAUCUGUCCAAAGUCUGUCCACGAUGACUGCUCUUUUGGAUCGAGUUGAUCAUGUUUGACCCGCUUUGCCUUGAAUCCUACUGUCCCAUAUAUGAUCCAUAACAGCCCCGAGUAGCACCGGUUAACUCGUUACCAUCGUCAUUCUUCACCAACCGGCAACUUCAGGCUGGGUUGAAUCUAGUGUCGGUGAUCGGAAUGGUUGCCAAGUGCACCAUGAAGACUGCAAAUGCUUUUGGCAGUGGUGCCAACACCUUCAUUUACAUAAAUUUUUAAUCAUACUAUUUGUAUUUCUUUAUUUUCCAUUAUAUAAAAGAAAAAAUGGUAGGUGUUGGUUUAAAAGUAUUAAUUAAAUCGUGUAAAGAUUACUUCAAAUAGUCAUUUUCUCAACAGCUACAUAUAUUUAUAUAAAAGAACAGGUGGACCAAUAUAUUUUUUUUGCGACAGGAAUAUCGGUUUGGUUCGGUACCGAUAGGAUAUGUAUAUGUAUAACUGGUUCGGGUCCGUUAUGCCCGUUUAGUCCCAUACGUGUCUCACUAAAUAAUCUAAAACAAUAUGUAAACAAAUUAACUAUGAUGAUGGUUUCGGAUGGGUUGAUACCUCUGGGAAAAAAAAUAAGAAAAGCAAAGGCAAGGAUCUGUUGAAAUAAAAAUGUCCCUCCAAGAAUCCAAGAGUCCAAAGUUGAAGCAUGGCCUGAUCCUGAACCUACAAUAAAUAAAUGGAUUUGUUCCUUCAAAAAUGAAAGGGGUUUUUAUCAAUACAUUGUGACUAUAACUAAUUUUUAGUUGUAACUUGUAAUGUUGUUGGUGUUUUUCAUCUUCAAUCUAGAUGUUUGCUAGUUUGUUGUACUAUAUUUUAACAAAAUUCACUUUGCCGUU
rnacentral:lncRNA from 1 species